rnacentral:rRNA from 1 species
GAUCAAGCUAUGAAGAGCGCUUGGCGGAUGCCUUGGCGUCAGAAACCGAAGAAGGGCGCAGCAGGCUGUGAUAAGCCACGGGGAGCCGCGAGCAGGCUUUGAUCCGUGGAUACCCGAAUUGGGAAAC